AUUCCAUGAUGAGUGAAUUAUCUUAGUAACUUCUUAAAUCUUUCUCAAGCAUCACACAAUAAUUCGUCCUCUCCUUGUUUAAAUGAGGUGAUGUCAUUCCUUAGUUU